GUGGUUUUCUUUUCCCCCUUCUUUGUGAGCUCUGUCUUGACUUUGAUUUCUUGUCCCCUUCUGUAGAAUUAAGACCACCUCUGGGCACAGCUGUGAAGCAGAGGAAGGAAAGAUAAGGAAAGAAGAAAGAAAAGAGAUUGAGAGGACUUGCCAGGUGCCAGUACUGAGACAAAUCAACAGAAAGACUAGAGCAGUAUCUAUAGGUGUGCCUCAAGAACUCCAGGCCUCAAGAACUCCAGGACUGUAAGCUGUAUAAAGGUAUUAAGCAGGAUGUUCAUGAUGUUUAAUUUACUGAUAUACAUUUUGAGUUUCUAAGA
rnacentral:lncRNA from 1 species